CCAUCUUUGCUUUAGGUCAAAGGUCAAAGGGGAGGAGCUUGGAGGCAUCACAGUUGGAGCGGGAGUCAGGGGAUGGGGUUCCGUGACUGACCGUUACACUGUGGGCAGGUCCCCAUCCUUCCUGGGCCUUGGGUUUCUCAUGUGAACCUGGAGUUAGAGGGUCAGAAAUUGUGUCUGACACACCUGGCAGGCCCCUCAUUUGGGCAACUGGAGUUCGUUUCUGAGCUGCUGCAGCAUCAAGGUGACCCUGCAGACCAGGAGGAUUAGGAGUGGUGACUGCCCGGCAAGGGGCAGUGCCCCCCACCAGCCUUGAGGCUCUAGGGCUCCAGACCAGGCCCCUUCACCCCUCUUAGGAGCCCUCACGUGGCAGUGCCUUCGGACACCCCUGUGGAGGGGGCCCCCACCUUCCUCUCCUGCCUUGAGGGGGCUCGCCUGCCAGCACUUAGCUCGCCCUCCAAGGCAUCUCUCCCCCCAAUCCAGGCGCCUUUUCUGUCAAGGAGGAGGAAACGGAAGCCAAGGUCACAGCCAGUCACAACGGAGUGUCUGCGGGAGGCCGGCUGCCUUCCUGUUUCUCCUCCAGCCGCCCUGGUCCCCAGACGCGGACGUCGGCGGCCGUGACUGCCCUGAAGCAGCGUCCAGGUGUCCCGGUGGCCACGGCUCCGGAGAUGGGCAGCCGGGAAGGGUGUGAGUGAGACCAGCGAGACUGAGGGAGGGGGCCGUGUCAGGGAGACUGGCUGGUGGUGCAUUGAAAUACAUUCCUUCCACAGCGAUUUAUCUUUCCUGCAUUUUGUGUGUGUGUGUGUGUGUGUGAGCGUGUGGCAGGUGUUAAAACUAGCUUUCAAGCUCUGUUAAUGAAUGCCAGAGUGAUUAUGUUGCUCUCCCCAUCAAUUAUGCAGAAAAUCAGGUAACCAGACUAUUUACUUUAUGUAAUAGAUGUGUGGGCUUCUUGUUCACUCUCUGAAGGAACAUUCCUGAAAGGGUCAUUUUUUAUUUCCUGAGAUGCCUUUUUUCCUAAUUGCUUGAAGGUUUGAAAAUUGCUCCCUUUCUCCCUUUUUCAUUCUGUGCAAAUGUAUUUCCUCACAUCACGUUUCCCCGACACCUCGGUCCCCUGGAGAAGCAGGGCCGUCCUCCAGCCUCCCACGUGCCUUCUGUCUCUCCAGGAAA